CCUACGGGUGGCAGCAGUGAGGAAUAUUGGUCAAUGGACGAGAGUCUGAACCAGCCAAGUAGCGUGAAUGAUGACUGCCCUAUGGGUUGUAAACUUCUUUUAUAUGGGAAUAAAACGUUCCACGUGUGGGAUUUUGUAUGUACCAUAUGAUUCAGGCUCGGCUAACUCCGUGCCAGCAGCCGCGGUAAUACGGAGGAUCCGCGCGUUAUCCGGAUUUAUUGGGUUUAAAGGGAGCGUAGGUGGAUUGUUAAGUAAGUUGUGAAAGUUUGCGGCUCAACCGUAAAAUUGCAGUUGAAACUGGCAUACUGGAGGACAGGAGAGGUGGGCGGAAUUCGUGGUGUAGCGGUGAAAUGCUUAGAUAUUACGAAGAACGCCGAUUGCGAAGGCAGUUCACUGGACUGCAACUGACACUGAGGCUCGAAAGUGUGGGGAUCAAACAGGAUUAGAUACCCGAGUAGUC
rnacentral:rRNA from 1 species